GAGGGAAAGGUGAAAAGCACCCCGGAAGGGGAGUGAAAUAGAACCUGAAACCGUGUGCUUACAAGUAGUCAGAGCCCGUUAAUGGGUGAUGGCGUGCCUUUUGUAGAAUGAACCGGCGAGUUACGAUUUGAUGCAAGGUUAAGCAGUAAAUGUGGAGCCGUAGCGAAAGCGAGUCUGAAUAGGGCGUUUAGUAUUUGGUCGUAGACCCGAAACCAGGUGAUCUACCCUUGGUCAGGUUGAAGUUCAGGUAACACUGAAUGGAGGACCGAACCGACUUACGUUGAAAAGUGAGCGGAUGAACUGAGGGUAGCGGAGAAAUUCCAAUCGAACCUGGAGAUAGCUGGUUCUCUCCGAAAUAGCUUUAGGGCUAGCCUCAAGUGAUGAUUAUUGGAGGUAGAGCACUGUUUGGACGAGGGGCCCCUCUCGGGUUACCGAAUUCAGACAAACUCCGAAUGCCAAUUAAUUUAACUUGGGAGUCAGAACAUGGGUGAUAAGGUCCGUGUUCGAAAGGGAAACAGCCCAGACCACCAGCUAAGGUCCCAAAAUAUAUGUUAAGUGGAAAAGGAUGUGGCGUUGCCCAGACAACUAGGAUGUUGGCUUAGAAGCAGCCAUCAUUUAAAGAGUGCGUAAUAGCUCACUAGUCGAGUGACACUGCGCCGAAAAUGUACCGGGGCUAAACAUAUUACCGAAGCUGUGGAUUGUCCUUUGGACAAUGGUAGGAGAGCGUUCUAAGGGCGUUGAAGCAUGAUCGUAAGGACAUGUGGAGCGCUUAGAAG
rnacentral:rRNA from 1 species